rnacentral:rRNA from 1 species
CGCGAAAGCAGCCUUCGGGCUGCAAGUAGAGUGGCGAACGGGUGAGUAACGCGUGGGUCACCUGCCCCGAGAUGGGGGAUAAGCCGGGGAAACCCGGUCUAAUACCGCAUAAGCCUUACGAGGGAAAGCCUUCGGGUGUCUUGGGAGGGGCCCGCGUCCGAUUAGCUAGUAGGUGAGGUAAGAGCUCACCUAGGCUUCGAUCGGUAACCGGUCUGAGAGGACGGACGGUCACACUGGGACUGAGACACGGCCCAG